rnacentral:rRNA from 1 species
CCCGCUGAACUUAAGCAUAUCAAUAAGCGGAGGAAAAGAAACCAACAGGGAUUACCCUAGUAACGGCGAGUGAAGCGGUAACAGCUCAAAUUUGAAAUCUGACCUUCACGGGUCCGAGUUGUAAUUUGUAGAGGAUAUUUCGGAUAGGCUUUGGUUUAAGUUUCUUGGAACAGAACGUCAUAGAGGGUGAGAGUCCCGUCUAGAACCGAUAGCCGCGUCCAUGUGAAAUACCUUCGACGAGUCGAGUUGUUUGGGAAUGCAGCUCAAAAUGGGUGGUAAAUUUCAUCUAAAGCUAAAUAUUGGCCAGAGACCGAUAGCGCACAAGUAGAGUGAUCGAAAGAUGAAAAGCACUUUGAAAAGAGAGUUAAACAGUAUGUGAAAUUGUUGAAAGGGAAGCGCUUGCAACCAGACUUGCGCGCGGCGGUUCCCCCUUCCUUCUGGUUGGGCUAUUCCGUCGUGUCCAGGCCAACAUCGGUUCUGGGGGUCGGUUAAAGGCUUGGGGAAUGUAUCUACCCUUCGGGCGUAGACUUAUAGCCCCGAGUGUCAUGCGGCCUCCCGGGACCGAGGAACGCGCUCCGGCUCGGAUGUUGGCGUAAUGGUUGUCAGCGACCCGUCUUGAAACACGG